GCUUGUUCAAUUUAUAAAUACAUAUUUUUUAAUUGCAAGGUAUAUAAAUGAAAUAAAUAAUCAGUAGUAGAAUAUUCCUUUAUAAAGCUAUGAGAUGUGUGCUUCAUAAUACGUUAAUAGUCGCAAUGUUCUUAAAAGGCUUAGUUCUGCUGCUCACGUUGCAAGUGAUUGACUCAAGAAGACCACCAUUGUCACAAACAUUGGGCUAUGGAAAUUUGCCGCAUCAAAUUUUUAAAUGGGAUCGGACUGAGCCAUAUCCAUCAGGUCCACAAUAUGUCUACCCACCCUUUUUAGGGUACCGUCUGCAUGAUUCUAAUAAUCCACUAAGAAUACGCUCUGUAUAUCAUCGACAUCCCGCGAAAUUUGGCCCUAAACCUAACAAACCAAACAAAGAUGGUAGACACAAGCAUAAACUGAGUAGAUUUUAUGAACAUCGUUCUUGUAUUCAUUAAAAUGUAUUAAAACAAACUAAAGUCCACUACAUAUUAGCGCUAAGUGAUCACUUAAUCAAUAGAAACACUGCUUGAUGAAAAAUGUUCAAAUAUGAGAAGAUUAAUGAAAUUAUACAUAUGUCAGUAACAAGGAGAACAGAAAAACGAAGAGCAACGACAAACACGGGAACAUCGUUAAAUAAAAUCUUUUAAAUUAUAGAUUUGUUAAAUUAUAUGCUACCUGCUUAUAUCUCACAUUGAUUAUGAAACGUGACUAUGUUUCAGUGGGACCGACAUUUUCAAUAAAACGGAAUAUACACGCAUCAUAUUACGUACAUUCUUCUUCAUAGUCGUAUUCCUCAUGGCUGAGGGUCGUGGUCAUUACGUGGAAUGAAACACACACAACAACUUUCUUGCCAUUAUUAAUGGAGUGGUUUGCCAUUGCCUUCUCCAUUUCACACACAAGUUAAUAAUAGUCAACCAGUGUGCAGGUUUCCACACGAUGUUUUCCUUCACCGGAAGCAAGUGGCCGUCAGAUUGUGGAGUCAGAUUUAUAUACAAACUUAUGUGGCAUGAGUAGGAUUCGAACCUGGGACCUUUCGAUCCACAGGCGGGCGUUUAACCAUUACACCACCGCUUCACCGCUUCGUUACGUCUAUACACAUCUUUGAUUUGAACGUUCUGAGUUUAGUUUUUGAUUAUAAAACUUCAUUUUUCAAUUUUUUGUUUUUGUACUUUCAUUUCCAUUCUGAUAUUAACAAUUAUCUGUUAUAGGAUGUUUAAUUAAUAAAAUGGAAUCAUAGAAAAGAAAAAAAAAUAUCAGUAACUCGUAAAAUUUUUAUAACACUGCAAUUUCUUCUGCAUUGUAUUUGUUUAUUUUUUACUCUUCAUUAUACUAACUACUUGGAUCAUUUUCACAAGAUGCUCAAUUAGAUUCUUCCUUCCUCUUCAAUUGUUUUAAUCAAAGUUUAAAUUAAUUCGUAAGCAUUUUGAAUUAUACGGUAUAAAAACGAGAUAAGUACAGUUACUAAAUUAGACAUGCGUAAGGCCAACACAAGGCAGAGACUUCAUGGCAGUUGAUAGACGCUAUGUUUUUGACAGGUCUACUUAUUCUGCUGAUAUUUCCUGCUGUUAUCUCCCAGAGCCAGUCACAAACAGUAGAUGAAAUUAAGCUUAAGUUGCAAUCAGAGACCAAGCCUGAUUUAGGAUCCGAGAAUCCACCCAAUUUGGGAUAUUUGUAUCCACCCAAUUUAGGAUAUCACUUGUAUGAUUCUGUUGAAAAUUUACUAAGAUCAUCGAAAAUAGUACGUUUGAAAUUUGGACGUAAACCUAGUAAAGGUAACAAAUUGAGUAGACACAAAAAAUAUAGAUUGACUCACAACGAAAAUGUUAUUGAAGAAUACGGAUAUAAUGUAAAACUUUUAACAUCAAAGAAAAGUGUAUGUACCAUUGCAUAUUGAUACAAAACUUUAUUAUAAAAAUAGAAAUAAGACAUAAAGUACGUAGCAAAUCUGAAUGUUACUAUUGCAAAAGGCGUUUACAUAUGAGAUACAUUCGAUCGUAUUGAAUGUCAUUGGGCAAUCUUGAAAAUUGACCCUCGUCGUCGUCAAUGAAUAAAAUUAUUUACACAAAAUAUCGCACUUUGA